UGAGGAAUAUUGCGCAAUGGGGGCAACCCUGACGCAGCAACGCCGCGUGAGUGAGGAAGGUUUUCGGACCGUAAAGCUCUGUCGAGCGGGAAGAAAUGCAUGGUGGCUAAUAUCCAUCAUGCUUGACGGUACCGCUAAAGGAAGCACCGGCUAACUCCGUGCCAGCAGCCGCGGUAAUACGGGGGGUGCAAGCGUUGUUCGGAAUUAUUGGGCGUAAAGAGCGUGUAGGCGGCUGGAGAAGUCAGAUGUGAAAUCCCUGGGCUUAACUCAGGAAGUGCAGUUGAAACUAUCCAGCUGGAGUAAGGGAGAGGAAAGUGGAAUUCCUGGUGUAGAGGUGAAAUUCGUAGAUAUCAGGAGGAACACCGGUGGCGAAGGCGACUUUCUGGCCCUAUACUGACGCUGAGACGCGAGAGCGUGGGUAGCAAACA
rnacentral:rRNA from 1 species